GGCCUGGGAGCAAUGAUAGAGCUUCUGACUUCAGAUCAGAAGGCUACGUGUUCAUAUCACGUCCGGGUCA